AGAGUUUGAUCUGGCUCAGAAUCAACGCUGGCGGCGUGCCUAACACAUGCAAGUCGCACGAGAAAGGGUAGCAAUACCUGAGUACAGUGGCGCACGGGUGAGUAACACGUGACUAACCUACCUCCGAGUGGGGAAUAACCUAGGGAAACCUGGGCUAAUACCGCAUAACACUUACGAGUCAAAGCAGCAAUGCGCUUGGAGAGGGGGUCGCGGCAGAUUAGCUAGUUGGUGAGGUAAUGGCUCACCAAGGCGAUGAUCUGUAUCCGGCCCGAGAGGGCGCACGGACACACUGGAACUGAAACACGGUCCAGACUCCUACGGGAGGCAGCAGUGGGGAAUUUUGCGCAAUGGGGGAAACCCUGACGCAGCAACGCCGCGUGGAGGAUGAAAUCCCUUGGGAUGUAAACUCCUUUCGAUCGGGACGAUUAUGACGGUACCGGAAGAAGAAGCCCCGGCUAACUUCGUGCCAGCAGCCGCGGUAAUACGAGGGGGGCGAGCGUUGUUCGGAAUUAUUGGGCGUAAAGGGUGCGUAGGCGGUUUGAUAAGUCUUGUGUGAAAUCUCUGGGCUCAACCCAGAGUCUGCACAGGAAACUGUCGGGCUUGAGUAUGGGAGAGGUGAGUGGAAUUUCCGGUGUAGCGGUGAAAUGCGUAGAUAUC
rnacentral:rRNA from 1 species